UAUUUGAAGGUUCAUUUUGGCUCAUCGUCGAUGGGUCAGGGCAGUUGGAUCCCUACACUGCUCCCCUAUACCGUUCUCUUCUCUCGCCGUCGCCGUCGCCGUCGCCGUCGCCGUCGCCGUCGCCGUCGCCGUCGCCGUCGCCGUCGCCGUCGCCGUCGCCCCUCCGAUCUCACUUCAAUCUCCUGGUUCUGCACCCUAGCUAGCGUGUUCGUGGCUCCAGCUCGGGCUUCCCUUGGCUUCGCCGUACCCAGAUGUUGUGUUCCGCUCUGGGUAUAUGUGAUGCUCCGACGAUGUCGUGUAAGGACACGGAUUGCUCCUGCCUUUGUCCUACGGAAUUUGGGUGCCAGAUUUGUUAAUGUAGGUUUAAAAGUUCGAAGGCUUGCACUCUGAGAGAAACAUGAAAAUAUCAAGAAGAAUUUUUUUUCUUGAACCAUAUAUAUAGUGUAAAGGCUGAUGGUUGGAUCAUUACAAGCUUAGGAUGUUGAGAAGAGUGACUCUAUUUUGGAUUAGUCUUCUAAACAAGCAUUCUAAUCCAGCUUCAAUAUCCUUGAUGUUCUGCAAUGUCUGGCUUUCUAGUUUCUGCAACAUCCCGUGAUUGACUUUGGUAUGCUCAUGCUUCUCAUCAUCACAAGCUACUUUUCUCUUGUGCAAUGCCUUUGAGAUCAGUGACCAUCUUCCAGUUCUUGUUCUGGGGCUUUGUACGGUCAAGAAGAUGAAGACGGAUUGUAGUAGAGAAAGAGUGAUCUCUCUUGCUUCCUUCCAUGUCUUUAUCACAUGGCAUAGAUCAUUGUGUGCACAACAUAAGACAAAUCUGUCAUUCAUCUGCUUCAGUAAUCUGAUGCAACUCUUGAUAUCUUUCUUGGCCUUCCUGUCUGAACAAAUUGGAGAAUGCAAUUUACUCUGGCAAACUGUUUCUCCUCCCCUUCUAUGGACCAUUUCAAGGUCUCUAAUAUACUCUUUUGUUGAUAUCAUGCAAUCCCUUGUGGUGCCAAUCAAGUCCAACAGUCUGAUGGAGAUAUCCAACUCUAUUUUCACCCAUCUGUUUUGUCGGCUAUUGGAAAAGAGCUGGCUGGUUCUAGACAACUGAAGGAAUUUAUCAAUGCACUCAUGCAAGCAUGCAAGGGCUUGCAAUCCCUGACAAAUCAUUUGGGGUGUUCAAUAGGAUUCACCAACAAAAGACUUGAGCUUCUGCAGUUGCUCUUGCACUUCAAAUAUGAUGGGGUGAUCUCUUGCUUGUAUGCUGAUGGACCGGAUGUGGGAAGGAUGAGUUGGGAUCACAGGAGAAUCAACCAUAUUUGCGCUGUGAAUUUGUGAAGCUUGCAGUACAAUGAGCUUAGGAGUAGAAAGAAGCAGGAUGCCAAGAUGAGAAUGAUUGUUGAGCUCUCGCUAUAUAUAGAUCCAUUGGAGCAGAUUGGAAGCAAAUGGAAUCUUUCCAGCUAAGGCCAACAUGAUAUGUGAAGCAUGGUGAUUGGAUCUUGUGUCCUUUUUGCUGAACAGGUGCCCUGUGUCUGAUUGUUAGGCCACAUUUUGAAGACAAGAUCAACCAAUCAACUACAUAUCAUGCAAAUUUAUUACCUAUAUGGUGGCGAAUAGGUGCAGUAACUAACAACCAAACAUGAAAACAAAAUAAAUGCAUAUUAGGUAGUCAAGCUAUUGAGUUUGGAGACUUCCAUUUUCCUCGAGGAUAUUCCUUCUCUCUUUGCAAGUUUAGAAAUCAUAUUUGCAAUAAUAUGUGAAGUUGUAAAGAAGCAAAUGAAAUGCCUCGUAGUUUCAUAUGAGAUGAGCAACUACGGCUCAUUAUUUAUAAUGAGUAUCCUAUCCGGUCCCUUGAUCCAGGUUCAACAGUUCCUUUGCCACACUCCACCCCUCCAUCGAUGAUUUCAGUGAUGACACCGUAUCCAGCAAUCUCUCCGGCCUCUACAUCUCUAUCCGCCGGCUGCCAUCUUCCGAUGAUUAUAUCAUCUGACGAUGACGACGGCGGUCUGGAGGACUGCGGAGUCAUCCGGAGCCAACUGGCCUUCUUCAAGGAAAUGGUUACAUCCAGAGGCAAAUACCUGUCUCUAUUCUCCGGCUGCCAUCUUCCGACCAUUACAUCAUGAGGCGAUGGUUUCGGGGACUGCGGGGUCAUCCAGAACCAAAUGGCCGUCUGGAAGGAGAUGACCGGAUCAGUCGCAACUAAGUCCGGGUGGCUGAGAAGAUCCACCCCGAUGGCUUCCCCAGCUGCUCCAUAAUUGUAGUUGCUGCAUAACGUCGGCGAAAAAGAGAUCUGCAUGGGUCCCCGUCCGUAGUACUUCUCGCCGGAGGCGCAUGGCCAGUUUGCGCUGGGCACGCAGUUGUCCGGCGGACUCCCUUGUUCUCUAUGGAAGCAGUAACCCCAUGCGCGUCAACUGACAGGUGGUUUCGUGCGAUGUCUGGCCGAAGAAGGCCGCGAGCUCCCUCUUCCGGGCGGUGACGUCGCCGGUCGUCCCGAACCCAGGGAAGGACUCUGCGGCGGCGAUGAACGCGCGGUACGUGUAGAAGCCACUGGCGGGGCAGUUGCGGUCGUCGCGGUGCGGCAGCAUCCGGUUGAAGUCGGAGAGAGUUAACAGCCCAUCUAAUUCCUGUGCGUGGCUGUGCGGCCGCGUCAGGAAGAAGAUGAGCGAGAAGAAGAAGAAGAGUAGGAGCUUCAUGUGUGACAGAGCUGUCGAGAAGUGCCCUAGACUACAAAAUAUGCGUCCUAUUUCUCAAGAGGAAUUUUAUCUGUUUUAAAUCGAGUGUUUUGGAUUAAAUUUUGUCUUUAACAUGAAAAAUAAUAAUUCUAUGUAGUUACAAAUAUUUUUGGAUAUGAAAAAAAAUUAUGAUGCAUAUUUUGAAAA